UUAAGUUACUAAGGGCUUACGGUGGAUGCCUAGGCGCCGGAAGACGAUGAAGGGCGUAGUGAGCUGCGAUAAGCCUCGGGGAGCCGCAAACAGGCUUAGAUCCGGGGAUUCCCGAAUGGGGCAACCUGCUGCGAGUAAUGUCGCAGCAUUCAUGGCUGAAUAUAUAGGUCAUGAAAGUCAUACCCGGGGAACUGAAACAUCUUAGUACCCGGAGGAAAAGAAAGCAAAAGCGAUUCCCUCAGUAGUGGCGAGCGAAAGGGGAACAGCCCAAACUGUAGCGGUGUUAAAGCCUGCCGGCGUUGCCGCUACAGGGUAGCGGGGCGCUUUUGGGUCGUGCGGCAGAACGGCCGGCAAGUUACAAAUCCUUUUAAUAGGCGAAAUCACCUGGAAAGGUAUACCGCAGAAGGUAAUAGUCCUGUAGCUGAAAUUAAAAGGACUUGCUUAAAGCGUUCCCAAGUAUCACGGGGCACGUGGAAUCCCGUGUGAAUCAGGGAGGACCACCUCCUAAGGCUAAAUACUAACCGGCGACCGAUAGUGGAGCAGUACCGUGAGGGAAAGGUGAAAAGUACCCCGGAAGGGGAGUGAAAUAGUACCUGAAACCGUGAGCCUACAAGCAGUGGAAGCACUAUUUGCGGCAGUCUAGCUGCUGUAAAGUGUGACCGCGUACUUUUUGUAGAACGGGCCGGCGAGUUACGUUUAGUAGCAAGGUUAAGGGACAAAGUCCUGGAGCCGUAGCGAAAGCGAGUCUGAAAAGGGCGUUUAGUUACUGGACGUAGACCCGAAACCGGGUGACCUACCCAUGACCAGGGUGAAGCUUGGGUAAAGCUGAGUGGAGGCCCGAACCCACCGAUGUUAAAAAAUCGGGGGAUGAGUUGUGGGUAGCGGUGAAAUGCCAAUCGAACCCGGAUAUAGCUGGUUCUCCCCGAAAUAGCUUUUGGGCUAGCCUCAAGUAAUGAGAGCUGGGGGUAGAGCACUGAUUGGGCUAGGGGCCCUACAAGGUUACCGAAUUCAGUCAAACUCCGAAUACCAGUUCUUCUAUCUUGGGAGUCAGACUAUGGGAGAUAAGUUUCAUAGUCGAGAGGGAAACAGCCCAGACCAUCGGCUAAGGUCCCAGAGUGCAGGCUAAGUGGGAAAGGAUGUGGAAACGCUGAGACAACCAGGAUGUUGGCUUAGAAGCAGCCAUCAUUUAAAGAGUGCGUAAUAGCUCACUGGUCAAGUAUUUCUGCGCCGAAAAUGUAACGGGGCUCAAGCCUGCCACCGAAGCCAUGGCAUCUGGUAGAAUUACUACUGCGUUUUAUUCUGGAAAAAGGUGUAUAACAUUUCGUCACAAAUUUACCUUAAUGUUUAAAUCAAAAUUUGUGACCAAAUGGUCCCCAGGGGAUAAAGCGAUAAAGCUUGGUAGAGGAUAAAACUUGGUAGUAAUUCUACCAGAUGGGUAGGGGAGCGUUCUGGCAGCACCGAAGCUGUACCGUGAGGAGCAGUGGAGCUUCCAGAAGUGAGAAUGCCGGCAUGAGUAACGAUAAGGCAAGUGAGAAUCUUGCCCGCCGAAAGCCUAAGGUUUCCUGAGGAAGGUUCGUCCUCUCAGGGUAAGUCGGGACCUAAGCUGAGGCCGAAAGGCGUAGGCGAUGGAUAACUGGUGGAAAUUCCAGUACCACCUUGAGCCGUUAUGAGCAAUGGGGUGACGCAGGAGGGUAGGCGCAGCGCACCGUUGGUUGUGUGCGUCUAAGCGUGUAGGGAGUGGAGAUAGGCAAAUCCGUCUCCAUGCUAAUCCCGAGGCGCGAUGGGGAGCGAAAUUUAAGUAGCGAACUGGCUGAUCCCAUACUGCCAAGAAAAACCUCUAGCCAGGCUACAGGGUGCCCGUACCGUAAACCGACACAGGUAGGCGAGGAGAGAAUCCUAAGGCGCGCGGGAGAACCCUCGUUAAGGAACUCGGCAAAAUUACCUCGUAACUUCGGGAAAAGGGGUGCCUCGUGUAGGGUGACACUUUAUCUUGUGUAGCCCGAGGAGGCCGCAGUGAACAGGCCCAAGCGACUGUUUAGCAAAAACACAGGUCUCUGCUAAGUCGUAAGACGACGUAUAGGGGCUGACGCCUGCCCGGUGCUGGAAGGUUAAGGGGAAGGGUUAGCGCUUCGGCGCGAAGCUCUGAACCUAAGCCCCAGUAAACGGCGGCCGUAACUAUAACGGUCCUAAGGUAGCGAAAUUCCUNNNNNNGUUCCGACCCGCACGAAAGGCGUAACGACUUGGGCGCUGUCUCAACGAGGGACCCGGUGAAAUUGUAGUACCUGUGAAGAUGCAGGUUACCUGCGACUAGACGGAAAGACCCCGUGGAGCUUUACUGUAACCUGAUAUUGGAUUUUGGUAUUGAAUGUACAGGAUAGGUGGGAGGCUGAGAACUCCGGGCGCUAGCCUGGAGGGAGCCACCCUUGGGAUACCACCCUUUCAAUGCUGGAAUUCUAACCAGAAACCGUUAUCCGGUUUUGGGACAGUGUCAGGCGGGCAGUUUGACUGGGGCGGUCGCCUCCCAAAGAGUAACGG
rnacentral:rRNA from 1 species